GACGAACGUUGGCGGCGUGCCUAAUACAUGCAAGUCAACUGAAAUACCGGUAGCAAUACUGGUAUGGAGGUGGCGCACGGGUGAGUAACACGUAGGUAAUCUGCCUUCAGGUCUGACAUAACCCAUCGAAAGGUGAGCUAAUAUCAGAUGAUGCAGCGGCUUGACAUCAAGACAGUUGUUAAAGCUUCGGCGCCUGAAGAUGAGCCUGCGUCUGAUUAGCUAGUUGGCGGGGUAACGGCCACCAAGGCUGCGAUCAGUAGCUGGUCUGAGAGGAUGAUCAGUCACACUGGAACUGAGACACGGUCCAGACUCCUACGGGAGCAGCA
rnacentral:rRNA from 1 species